rnacentral:rRNA from 1 species
UACGUAGGGGGCAAGCGUUGUACGGAUUUACUGGGCGUAAAGAGCGUGUAGGCGGCCAAACAGGUCCGUUGUGAAAACUGGAGGCUCAACCUCCAGACGUCGACGGAAACCGUAUGGCUAGAGUCCGGAAGAGGAGAGUGGAAUUCCUGGUGUAGCGGUGAAAUGCGCAGAUAUCAGGAAGAACACCUAUGGCGAAGGCAGCUCUCUGGGACGGUACUGACGCUGAGACGCGAAAGCGUGGGGAGCGAACAGG